rnacentral:rRNA from 1 species
ACGGAAGGCAGCAGUGGGGAAUAUUGCACAAUGGGCGAAAGCCUGAUGCAGCGACGCCGCGUGAGCGAAGAAGUAUUUCGGUAUGUAAAGCUCUAUCAGCAGGGAAGAAAAAUGACGGUACCUGACUAAGAAGCUCCGGAUAAAUACGUGCCAGCAGCCGCGGUAAUACGUAUGGAGCAAGCGUUAUCCGGAUUUACUGGGUGUAAAGGGAGCGUAGACGGAUGUACAAGUCUGAUGUGAAAGGCUGCGGCUUAACUGCAGGACUGCAUUGGAAACUGUACAUCUGGAGUGCCGGAGAGGUAAGCGGAAUUCCUAGUGUAGCGGUGAAAUGCGUAGAUAUUAGGAGGAACACCAGUGGCGAAGGCGGCUUACUGGACGGUAACUGACGUUGAGGCUCGAAAGCGUGGGGAGCAAACAGGAUUAGAUACCCUGGUA